CAACCUCAGAUGGAGGUGCUGACCCACUGAAUUUAAGCAUAUGAGUCAACAGAGCAAAAGAAGCUCAGGAGGAGUCCCUUACUGAAAAGGGAAGGUGUGACGUACAGAAGCCCCCGUCCCUGGCAUUGCUCUUGGGUGUGCGGGUGUCCAAGUCCUUCCGAUCGAGGCCCAGCCUGUAGAUGGAGUGAGGCCAGUAGCAGCCCCCACAGCGCAGUGGGCCUGGGGCUUCUCGGAGCCACGUUACUUGGGAAUGAGGCCCAGAGCUGGUGGUAGACUCCAUCUAAGGCUGAAUGCUCAUCACCCAGUGUCCUGGUUUCGGCAGGGAUAGAGUUAAUUUCCUUCCUAGUA
rnacentral:ncRNA from 1 species